UUACACAUGCAAGUCGAACGGGCACUUCGGUGUCAGUGGCGAACGGGUGAGUAAAGCGCAGGUAAUCUGCCGCAAAGUCGGGGACAACGUUCCGAAAGGGACGCUAAUACCGGAUGUUGUGCAGAGGUCGCAUGACCUUUGCAUUAAAGAUUUAUCGCUUUGCGAGGAGCCUGCGUCCGAUUAGGUAGUCGGUGAGGUAAAGGCUCACCGAGCCGACGAUCGGUAGCCGGUCUGAGAGGAUGAACGGCCACAAUGGAACUAAGACACGGUCCAUACUCCUACGGGAGGCAGCAGUGGGGAAUAUUCCACAAUGGGGGAAACCCUGAUGGAGCGACGCCGCGUGAGUGAAGAAGGGCUUCGGCUCGUAAAGCUCUUUUCUCGUUGACGAAUUAGCCUUUGGGGCAGUUGACGGUAGACGGGGAAUAAGCCACGGCUAACUACGUGCCAGCAGCCGCGGUAAUACGUAGGUGGCAAGCGUUGUCCGGAAUUAUUGGGCGUAAAGGGAGCGCAGGCGGNGAUUCAAGUCCAAAUUAAAAGUUCGGGAGUAAUGUCCGUG
rnacentral:rRNA from 1 species